CCUUAGGCUGGAAACAACCCUGCUAGUAAAGCACAACACGGUCAGUUCGAUGCUAGCUAGACUCUGCUACAGUGAAGCCAGGGACCAUUUACAGCUACCGUUGGGCGACCGUAGCACGUCGCGCAUUGAUAGUUUCAGUCCACAGGGGAAAGCAACAAAGCAAGCAGCAGGCCGGGCCAUCAGACAAGCUCGCAUUAAAGGCGGCCUCGUCAUUGUUGUUGCCGCUGUUGACUAAGUUUAUGAGGUCGGACCGGCCGGAUCACACAGCCACACAGGACACCAGCUUAUGAUUACGUUCACUCUGAGGCCUGCGUUGCUUCCUAGGACCAGGAAUUACGUAGGUUGUUGAAGGUUGGCUGAGGUAACCAGACGUGGGUUUGUUGAAGGCUCACCUAACCUAACCAGGGCCCAGCUGGCUCUCUGUGCCGUCGAAAAUCUCAGGUCAUGGGGCCUGUCGUCAGAGCUGGAUAUGCAUCAGAGCCCCUCCUGCCCAUGACGCUGCUCGAUCAGUUGAGUUAUGUACCGUAUUUAUUGUAUGGAGAUGUGGUCCUGCAUGUGUAUGUGCAUCCUUUCCUUCCUCUAGCAGGAUAUUGAAGAAUUUAUGGCAGGAACAGCAGCUUGAUCCAGCUGCUGCUGAUGCUCGACAAGACUCUACUUGUCCAAACGCUAGAUGGUAUUAUAUUCCAAACGCUAUAAACAAGCGCAGAAUUCCUUGGAUUUUCAGCUGCUGGAUGGUAUGUAUUAUAUUCCAAACGCUAUAAACAAGUGCAGAAUUCCUUGGAUUUUCA